UACGUAGGGGGCAAGCGUUGUCCGGAUUUAUUGGGCGUAAAGAGCGUGUAGGCGGCUUUACAGGUCCGUUGUGAAAACUCGAGGCUCAACCUCGAGACGCCGGUGGAAACCGUAAAGCUAGAGUCCGGAAGAGGAGAGUGGAAUUCCUGGUGUAGCGGUGAAAUGCGCAGAUAUCAGGAGGAACACCCGUGGCGAAAGCGGCUCUCUGGGACGGUACUGACGCUGAGACGACGAAGCCAGGGGAGCAAACGGG
rnacentral:rRNA from 1 species